AAUAUGUGAUUUUGUCUGCCUA
rnacentral:siRNA from 1 species